rnacentral:rRNA from 1 species
AUUGAACGCUGGCGGCAGGCUUAACACAUGCAAGUCGAGCGGAGAGAGGUAGCUUGCUACUGAUCUUAGCGGCGGACGGGUGAGUAAUGCUUAGGAAUCUGCCUAUUAGUGGGGGACAACAUUUCGAAAGGAAUGCUAAUACCGCAUACGUCCUACGGGAGAAAGCAGGGGAUCUUCGGACCUUGCGCUAAUAGAUGAGCCUAAGUCGGAUUAGCUAGUUGGUGGGGUAAAGGCCUACCAAGGCGACGAUCUGUAGCGGGUCUGAGAGGAUGAUACGCCACACUGGGACUGAGCCACGGCCCAGACUCCUACGGGAGGCAGCAGUGGGGAAGAUUGGACAAUGGGGGCAAGCCUGAUCCAGCCAUGCCGCGUGUGUGAAGAAGGCCUUAUGGUUGUAAAGCACUUUAAGCGAGGAGGAGGCUACUUUAGUUAAUACCUAGAGAUAGUGGACGUUACUCGCAGAAUAAGCACCGGCUAACUCUGUGCCAGCAGCCGCCGUAA